AGCGGCUCCAUCGCCGGCGGAGCUCCCCGGGAGUGGCUCAUCACCGAGCAGAGGAGCUCGGAGCGGCUCCAUCGCCGGCGGAGCUCCCCGGGAGAGGCUCCAUCGCAGAGCGGAGCUCCCCAAGAGGAGCCCGGAGCGGCUCCAUCACGGGCGGAGCUCCCCGGGAGGGCCCAGGCGGGUGCUGAGGGGCCCCGCAGCCUGAGGGGCCCGGCCCGGGGAGCGCCGCCCUCCCGGCACAGCGCGGGGGUCGGGGCCGCUUUUCUCGUGUUUCAGCUCGUUGCCGUCGCUGUGGCUCGCAGGUUUCGGGUGUGGAUGGAGCCCUUUCCCAGCCCCUCGAUCCCCGUGUCCGGGAGCUGCCGGGACAGCUCGAGCUGUGCUCCCCGCUCUGGCUGCGCUGCCCGGGGCUGUGCGGUGAAGGACAGUUUGUUUCGAGUCUGUUCAAUCCAGCCUGCAGGUGGAAAUCGAUCAGCAAAUGAACAUUUCCUCCGUGCUGAAACAGAAUUUCAGGAUUUCCACCUUUUAUAUUGUCUGGAACAAAGUAAGACAACAGCGGGGGCCCACAGCAAACCUGAGCAUUCCAAAUGUUGUUUGGACACGAAGGAGUAACAACCAAAGAGCCCCAGUGCUGUUCCCUGGAGCAGGGUGUCCCUCUCAGCCCUGGCCCUGAGCUGAGCCAAGCCUCUGCUCCCGCUGCUGACUCCCAAAUUCAGGCUGGGAGCUGCUGGGAAUGUUCUGGGGGAUGGAAUGGCAGUGUCAUCUCCCCGGGCUGGCUUUUGAACCCCUGGGGCAGGGCAGCUCCUGUGCUGGGGAACAUUCCUCCUGCAGCUCUGACAGCAUUCCUGACACAGCCAAGAGACAUUUUGGAAAGGUUUUCCUUUGCUUUUCUGCUAGCAAACAACUCCUUGGCAGUCAGAUUUGUUUUCUCUCACCCUUUCCACAGCUCAGCUGGAACUCCUGCUGCCAUAAAUAAAACAUCACAGUUGAUCCUUUGGCCUCGUUUCACCUCAGUUUCAGCCCAGGGCUGAGUCAGCAGCCCAGGCUGCCCUCCCUGACCAACCCCAGCCUGGCUAAGCCGGUGAGAUAAGCCAGGCUUAUUUCCGUGCCAGCAGCACAGGCUGCUGUGCUCAGAGCUGAUUUAGCUCCCAAAAACAGGGUCUGGCUGCUCAGCUCCUGCCUUCCCCCAGCCUGGGCCCACAUCAUUGUCUGCAGAUCUCAGCUUAGACCCUGAAUUGAUGGGAUUUGAUCCUAAAUGCUCUGACAAUUAAUUUCUGCAUUGUAGCAAAGUCUACAGAGCUGAUGAAGGAUAAGAAAAGUGUGGCACAAAGAGAAGGAAAUUUGGUACCAAUUUUUAGCAGAAGGAAAACCAGGAUUAUGAUUUAUUAUGAAAACAGACUUUAGUGUGACUUGUGACUUUGCAGUGUGAUUUCACUCGGCUGGGAAAUAGAACAAAGCAACGUUGCAGAGAGUGGAAAGUGAAAGUUAAUUUUUCAUUUUGGUGCUUAAAGUAACCCAGGAGUAAUUCCUGAUGUGGUGUUGCCUGUGAGGGCUGCUGACCUCAGAGCCUUGAGGGAGCUUCUCAGUGUGACUGUUUAAUGCACUUAUGACUAUUUUACGUUACAAAAGUAACCCUUGAAAUGCAUGGAGAGAAAAAAAUUCUAUGCUUCUGUUCACAUUGAAAAUGUUACUCCUGGUGGGAGAAGAUUUCCAUAGCUCUGAGGUUAUUUAGAAAUUCUAGUUGUGGCUUUCAGCACGCUGCUGCUGUUUCCCAGUGUAGCCAGUAUCUGGUGUCAGACUGCUGCUUUUCCCGGGAUUCUAAGGGUUGGCUGUGGAUGGUAUGGAUACGGCUGGGUGAAUGCUCUGAGUGCAGCCUGGGGCUCGCUGAGCUCCUGGAGUUGUUGCUCAGUUCCAUGGGUUUCCCCCCGGAAAUUCCCAGCCUCAUUCCCAGCCAGAUGUGCUGCUGGGGCUCGUGGGUCGCUGCAGGGGCUGCAGCAGAGAGAGCUCAGUGCCCUCUGCUGUGUUUUGUGUGGCUGGAGGAGCUCACCUGUGCCAGGUGCUGUGACAGCCUCUGGAGCCGCCGGUGCCCGCUGCCAGGCGCUGCCCAUGGCUGCGGUGUGUUGUCGUGGCGUGCCUCAGUUUCCCCGGUUCCUUCCCCAGGUGGGGUGUCAAUCACCUCUCCUUUCCCCACCCUGCUGGGCACUCUCUCAACCCAGAAAUUGAGUGAUCGGCAGGUUCAAAGGAUGCUCUCCACCCCCUGGGGCCAUUGGCCCACCCAGGUGUCCCUCUCACCUGAGACCCCCUCCCCCCAUUCCUGGUUGGUGCUCCCUGUGUUCCCUCCCCAGGUAAAAGGGCAAGCACACCUCACGGUCGGGGUGCUGUUGGAGUUGCAGGAUUCAGAGGCCAUGCAGCCCAGAAUAAAAACUCUGGAUUAAAAACUCUCCAUCAGGACCACAAGGAGAUCUCCUCUGGCACCAUCCCUGGGAAUUCCUGCUGGGGAUUUAUCAGGAUUCCUGCACCUCCCUGCAGGCCAGAGUGCAGGAGCUGUGCCACUCUUCUGGCCUGCUCCUGGAGCUGUGCAGGAGAAUCCUUCCUGACUGCUUCCAUUAGAUUGAAAAGCUCUUGCAGCAAUCCAGCAUUAUUUUCAAUUUCUGCUUGAAAGCUGGAUUGCUAAAGCUCUACACUUGUUCUGUUUCUGUAUCCUUCCUCUUCUGUAUUGCAUGGAUUUCCUCUGAACUGCAGUCCUGAUCCACUUCAGGUGAAGAGAGGUGAGCUUUGCCUUGAUCCACAACUGUGGAAUUUGGUCCUUAACAUCCUCCUGGAAUUCUCUGCCAAAGAUCAGGUUGAAGAUUUUCUUCCAGCUUUUCUUGGGAGGCCGGACACUGGAACAGAGCAAGAGUUGGAGCUGUCAGGAAUUCUGAUCUCUGCCUGAGCUCAGCUGGGUAACAGGGGGCUGUGCCUCACUGCCUUUCCCAGCUGAACUCCCAGCUCGUGGAUUCAUCCUGGGAGCAUUCCUGCCAUCGUUCCUCAUGCAGAAUGAAGUGACCUGAGAAUUAAGAAGUGCUGAGAAAUGAGUUCAGAGCUUUCCAACUGCUUUAGCUCCUGAUUUUUCCCAGAGAAAGAAAUGAAUCUGAGAGCUAAAAGCUUGUGGUUUCUGUCACUAUUUGACCACAUUGAGCCUGUCUUGGUUCACUGAAGAUCAAUGAGCAUUUACUUUAAAAACAGGUUGAAAAAAAGACUAUAAUGAUUAAAAAUUAAUAGAAUAUAAAGUAUUUUGAAAACCU